rnacentral:lncRNA from 1 species
GAUAAUUAAGAUUUACACACACCUGCACAUCCACCAACAUAUUAACGAAGCUUUUAACAAAAGGAUAUGAACUUUAACUAUUUAAAAAGUAAAAGUAAAAUUUAUUUGAAGACAUGGUUGAUACACUGACAGACUUGUUACCAAUGAGUGUUAAAAACUCUUACAAGGCAUUGUUAAACAUUUUUUUAAUUCGUAAAUUUUAUAUAGUAACCUGAACAAUUUUAAUUAUUUCAUUUCUGGUUACCCAAAAGGAUGGACCUUUAAAAGACCAUGCCAAAUGGUUUCGUAAUAGAUAAAAAAUAAAUUUAACUCCUCAAAGUGUCAUCCAAUCAACCUCCAAAUAGGGAAAAAAAUCAUAACUAUAUCACUCCAUAAGAUCCAUUAGAAACGUUUGAAGCAAUAAGACCAUUCAAAAUCAUGCCUUCUAUUCACAGUCGUUCAAAAUUGCGACAAGUUGAAAAUCACAAUCAAUCUCAGAUGUGGAACAAAACCUUUAAAUCAAAGGAAACUUGAUAUAAAACAAACUCAUCAUUCCAGCCAAUCAAACCUAAAUGUUUGAAGCAUUAAAAUCAUUCAAAAUCACAUCAAAUUGAGGAAUAAGUUUAAAGGGUUCUAAAAUUAUUUUAGUAAUUACCUCAAGAAUUAAUUAGAUGUACUACAAGACCGACAACUAAAAAUUCGAAGUUAUUAAAAAUCAAUCCCUCCAUCAUUAGGUUUUAUAGAUUCAACUUCAUAAAUGCCUUAAAUUUAAAACCAAAGAAAAAUAUCAAUAAAAUUUCAUUACUGGUAGAUAGUACUAUGAAUGAAGCACCAAAUUAUAUCUAUCAACAGCAACCACCUGCAACAUGUUUAUUGAUUAUAAGACUCGGAUUAAAAGGCUAGGUCAUCUUCUCUAAAAGGCAUACACUUUGACAAAAAAAAAAAAAAAAACAUGAAGCACAUGAUUGAAAUCGUUCAGUGACCUGUGCAAAAGAACCUCCACCACCGAUGUUUUCAUCAAUGGAAAACAAUAAGUUAGCAGCUAGUUCUUCUGCUGUAACCACUUCCAACUUCAAAACAACUCCACCAAUACCUCUUCUUUUAUUGGAAAAUAAUACCAAAAAAGAAAAGCCAAAAGAGGGAAAAAUAUCGAGGGAAACUGCUUAAUUUCAACCAUUUUGACAUAAUUGUAAAAAAUUAGUAACUCUUAUUUUCCAUCUCAAUCUCCAAAUUUCAAGCUUCAAAAUUAUGAAAAUUAAAAAACAAAAUGACAAAAGAUCCUUGUUAUGUCUUCCCUAGUUAGACCAAAUUUCAUGGAGCUUCUUUAAAUUUGGUGUGAAAGGGCACUCACCGACUCCUUAAAUUAGAGUUGGAGUAUUGGACCUUCAGAGAUAGAAAGCAAUUCUAUCAGUUGUGUGUCUAUCUACUCAAUGUAGAAGAUUUUUUUAUACCAUAUGUUAGUCAAGUUAAAGGGAUUCAUCAAGUUUAUAUGUUUCUAAAUCUACUUUUAGAUAGGAAAUAUCCAUUCUGCAAAUAACAUACCAGUAGUUAAUUAGUACUUAUCCAAUGUAAUUGGUAAUUCUUCCAAGACCAAUUACCGAAGGCGAGCUACCUGCAUUUCGGAAACUAAAAAACCACAGAUUGGGUCCUGUAAAACAAGUCUUUGACAUCCAAAAGCAACCAUAUGUUCCCCAAAUCCGUAACAUUUUCUAUCAAUAAAAUAACCAAUUGAUAAAUAGCUAAAAAGAAAAUAAGCAUAAAAAGGAGCUGUUAGAAGAAAGAGAACCGAAGGGUAUCAACAUAAAUCUAAAUCCCUUAAUCUCUUUAUGUAUUCAACUCUGUGAGGGCUUGUUACAUCCGACACCAUUGAAGUUGAAUAAAAAAUUCAAGGUGGAAAAGAUUAGGGAGAAGUUGUUAAUGAUAUUUUGCAGCUUUAAAAAAUAAAGAAUUAGGGAAAAGGAAACCAGAGGGAAUGAAACGAAAGUCGGGAAGAGGGGCAUUAAUCUCAACUUCUCUCCAAGUCUUCUUCCUCAGAAAACGUCCAGAGUUGCCAUGAUCAAAUUCUUUUACUCAAAAUAUAACACCCAUCCAAACUGGAAAAAAAAAAUAAGAAUGAAGCACUAAUAUUGAGGUCAAAUACAAAAUUGAAUUACACACCAUCGUUAAGAUAAUUUAACCUAAUAAUCUUAUAUAUAAAAAUAGAACCUCUAAAUGGCAAGGCUUCCUCAAUAACAAACUACAAACAUAAACAAAAAUGUUAACAUGAUUUCUUUCUUCAAUAAAAAGCAUCGACAAAAAAUAACAGAAAGUAGAUGCCUACCUUCACUAUUCACUGAGAGUGAUUUGAGGAGAUUAGGUUUAAGAUCAUGUUUCUCGGGAACAAGAGAGGCAACGGUGUCGUCGGAAAAAAUAAAUAAGAAUAAUAUCUGCAGAACGUAGGUUUCAGAACAGAGAAAAACAAAGAAAAGCAAAUGAAGCCAAUCGAUUUUAAGAGACCAGUUUUCUUAAGAGGGAGGUAUGCACGCGCAAGAUAGCAAGCUGGUGAAUCAGGCAAACAGAUAACAUCAUAUAUCUGGGACGGAGAGACGUUAGCGGUCCCUGAACGCCAUACCUAGUGCAAGAGAGAAAACUACCUGCAACUGGGAAGUCGGAGACGUCAUCUUGGACCGCUGUUUCCAGCGCAAAUCAACCAUCAAAAAGGGUUUGUUUUUUAAGAAGUAAGCACCAUGUCAACUGGUUCAGAAAUUGGAAGACGUGGUGGAGGCACAGCUGACAUACCUUAAAUCGACAUGCAUGAAGUCUUUUGCUAACGAUCAGAAGCAUAUGAUAUAAGCGAUGGGCGGCGGCCUGCGUCACUAAAGCAUCAACCAGGUGACUUCUAGUUAGAGAUGGAAAUAACAAAUCCAAUUAGGUCUUUGACAUAUAUGCAGAUGAACAACUUUGAUUUAAGGCUUCACAAUCGAUUAAUACCCCUCAUGUGAACACCGGCCAAUUAAUUGGACCAAAAAAUAAGUUGCUUGCUUCAAUUGGAGCAUAUAUUCAGCAACAUGCAAAGACUACACAUUCAGCUGACCAUAUACUCCGGGAGGAAGGUGAAGAGGCGGUGGGGAAAUCUAAGGCAGUUGCUUCUCAAGAAGAAAGAAAGAGGAGGAAAAGAAAGACUACCAAAAAAUACACAAGAAAAGAAAGUGACUCACCUUAAGAAAGGUUAAUUGAGGCGGCAAACAACUUUGGGAGAAACGCCGGCAGAAAAGCAAUUACGUAAACCGACCUUUGAAGUCCAUUGCGUCAGCCAGAUGCAAGGAUGACCGGAAACAAGCAGGCAGAUUGGUGAUGCAGGCAGCCAAGCAGCUAAUGGAAGGAUGGUGCAGAACAUAGCGUAAGAUAAAAUUGGC